rnacentral:rRNA from 1 species
AUUGAACGCUGGCGGCAGGCCUAACACAUGCAAGUCGAGCGAGCGGCGGACGUGUGAGCAAUGUAUGUGCAUCGGCCUGAGAGAUGGGGAUAACUACUGGAAACGAUUGCUACUACCGCAUACUAUCGGAUGAACCCAUCUGGGAUUAGCUAGUAGGUGGGGUAAAGGCACACCUAGGCGACGAUCUCUAGCUGGUCUGAGAGGAUGAUCAGCCACACUGGGACGGAGACACGGCCCAGACUCCUACGGGAGGCAGCAGUGGGGAAUAUUGCACAAUGGGCGCAAGCCUGAUGCAGCCAUGCCGCGUGUAUGAAGAAGGCCUUAGGGUUGUAAAGUACUUUCAGCGGGGAGGCGUUACCCGCAGAAGAAGCCCCGGCUAACUCCGUGCCAGCAGCCGCGGUAAUAC